UCGUACGCUUCUUUUUCCACCGGAGCUUGCUCCACCGGAAAAAGAAGAGUGGCGAACGGGUGAGUAACACGUGGGUAACCUGCCCAUCAGAAGGGGAUAACACUUGGAAACAGGUGCUAAUACCGUAUAACAAUCGAAACCGCAUGGUUUUGAUUUGAAAGGCGCUUUCGGGUGUCGCUGAUGGAUGGACCCGCGGUGCAUUAGCUAGUUGGUGAGGUAACGGCUCACCAAGGCCACGAUGCAUAGCCGACCUGAGAGGGUGAUCGGCCACAUUGGGACUGAGACACGGCCCAAACUCCUACGGGAGGCAGCAGUAGGGAAUCUUCGGCAAUGGACGAAAGUCUGACCGAGCAACGCCGCGUGAGUGAAGAAGGUUUUCGGAUCGUAAAACUCUGUUGUUAGAGAAGAACAAGGAUGAGAGUAACUGUUCAUCCCUUGACGGUAUCUAACCAGAAAGCCACGGCUAACUACGUGCCAGCAGCCGCGGUAAUACGUAGGUGGCAAGCGUUGUCCGGAUUUAUUGGGCGUAAAGCGAGCGCAGGCGGUUUCUUAAGUCUGAUGUGAAAGCCCCCCGGCUCACCCGGGGAGGGUCAUUGUUAAACU
rnacentral:rRNA from 1 species